CAGGUCAGUCGGGUGUGCGCGCUGCCAAUCAGGCAGUGAGGAAAGUCCGUACACCACAGAGCAGGAAGCCAGGUAAUGCCUGGAGAGGCGCAAGCUUCUGGACAGGGCCACAGAAACAUACCGCACGCGCAGGCGUGUGAGGGUGAAAAGGCGGUGUAAGAGACCACCGGCGCGGACAGCAAUGCCCGCGGCCAGGCAACCCCCUUCCGGUGCAAGGUCAAACAGGAGAGAAGCAUCUUCGGAUGCCAGCGCUGGCUCGGCGCUGUUGAUCUCCGGGUAGACCGCAUGAGCGGCCUGGUGACAGGUCGUCGAGAUAGAUGCACAUCCCCGACAGAAUACGGCUUACAGGCUGACCUGAGUG
rnacentral:RNase_P_RNA from 2 species